rnacentral:rRNA from 1 species
UACGUAGGGGCGAGCGUUACCCGGAAUCACUGGGCGUAAAGGGAGCGUAGGUGGCCUGACAUGUCGACUGUGAAAACCCGGAGCUCAACUCCGGACUUGCAGUUGAAACUGCCAGGCUUGAGGACGGUAGAGGAAGACGGAACUGCCAGUGUAGGGGUAAAAUCCUUAGAUAUUGGCAGGAACGCCGGUGACGAAGGUGGUUUUCUGGGCCGGUUCUGACACUGAUGCUCGAAAGCCAGGGGAGCGAACGGGAUUAGAUACCCCGGUAGUCCCUGAGCGGGCUGG